rnacentral:tRNA from 1 species
GCCGCCGUGGCGCAACAGGUAGCGCACUCCCCCUGUAAGGGAGCGGUUGCGGGUUCGACCCCCGCCGACGGCU